rnacentral:rRNA from 1 species
AUUGAACGCUGGCGGCAUGCUUUACACAUGCAAGUCGAACGGCAGCGCGGGCUUCGGCCUGGCGGCGCGUGGCGAACGGGUGAGUAAUACAUCGGAACGUGCCCAGUAGUGGGGGAUAGCCCGGCGAAAGCCGGAUUACUACCGCAUACGACCUGAGGGUGAAAGCGGGGGACCGAAAGGCCUCGCGCUCUUGGAGCGGCCGAUGUCGGAUUAGCUAGUUGGUGGGGUAAAGGCUUACCAAGGCGACGAUCCGUAGCUGGUCUGAGAGGACGACCAGCCACACUGGGACUGAGACACGGCCCAGACUCCUACGGGAGGCAGCAGUGGGGAAUUUUGGACAAUGGGGGCAACCCUGAUCCAGCCAUGCCGCGUGCGGGAAGAAGGCCUUCGGGUUGUAAACCGCUUUUGUUCGGGAAGAAAUCCUCUGGGCUAAUACCCCGGGGGGAUGACGGUACCGGAAGAAUAAGCACCGGCUAACUACGUG